UACGGGCACAUCACUUUGAAACACUUGUUCCCAUACAAUCACUGAAGUUAAACAACAUUAAGCCUGGUCAGUACUGAGAUGAGUGACUGCUCAGGAAUACCAAGUGCU